GACGAACGCUGGCGGCGUGCCUAACACAUGCAAGUCGAGCGACCAAACAAGGCUUUCCCUGGGGCAACGCUGCGAACGGGUGAGUAACACACGCGUAACCUACCCCGCUAACCGAGACAGCCCAAGUAAACUCGGGCGAAUACCUGCUGUGCUCUCUAGUGUUCCGUUUAGUUCGUUAAGGAAAGUCCGGCUUCCUUACCGUGAUAGGCCCGCGGCCCAUUAGCUUGUUGGUGAGGUAACGGCUUACCAAGCCCGGGAUGGGUAGCUGGUCUGAGAGGACGAUCGGCCACACUGGAACUGAGACACGGCCCAGACUCCUACGGGAGGCAGCAGUGGGGAAUCUUGCGCAAUGGGCGAAAGCGUGACGCAGCAACGCCGCGUGGGUGAAGAAGGCCUUCGGGUUGUAAAACCCUUUUAGGAGGGACGAAGGUUCGGCGGUGAAUAGCCGCCCGGACUGACGGUACCUCCACAAGAAGCCCCGGCUAACUACGUG
rnacentral:rRNA from 1 species